rnacentral:lncRNA from 1 species
GUCAAGUGCUGGCCUGUCAUAUGAGUGAUCUACGAUUGUCGGGGAUCUUAUGGAAGAAUCGCUACUGUUUGGCCACAUUUGCCAUCAGCUCUCGAUUCAGUAUUUCCGAUCGGGUUCGACGAAGUUCGCUUCAUUUUCAAGCUGAUUGGCAACUGACGACUAGCGGUGGGAGGGUAUUGAGGCGCUGCAUACCGAACCAAAAAUGAAGUCCGGUCGAAGAAAAAUAGUUAGUGCUAAAUUUGGUGCAACCGAACGAACAAAUGCUACUUCUAGGCGAAUAUACUACAGAUAGAAGAACUGACGAUAUCGGUUAAAAUAUUAAAUUUAUGAAACGUGGUUGAUACGAUGUGACCUUGGUGGUUCUGAAGGCCUUGCUUCUAUAUCUGGUUAUUUUUGUAUUUGCAUAAUCUGUGAGCGUUUAGUGUGUGUACCAGUUGUUAGCAGAAACGCCAGUUUCUGUUGAGCGGAUCGGCGAAAUCAUAGAGUCAAACAUUGAAAGGGUGUCGUGUUGUGUAAAUGUGCUCCUGUUCCCCAGUUAGAACAGAUAAUGACACUACUGUUCAGGUGGGCAUCACUGCAGUGUGUGUAAAUGUGGUGGGCAUAUUCCCUGGUGUCGUUUAAAUGCUCGGAACGUCUCCUUAUUGUGUCAGUGGAUAUAUCGAAAUAAUUGAAGGACGGCGCCUAUAGUAGGUGUAUUCACAGCUGUUGCGUUGACUUUGGCAAUUGAAACUAUAUGAUUAUUUGUGCCUUGAGGAUUUGUACUUUACGUUUUUGGAUGCAGUUAUCGGCCUUCCGCAGGGGUAAGUGGGUCCGGGUAACUGUUUCAAGUUGCCUAACGAAACUUGUGUGAAGACCGACCGGAGAACUUCCUUCGCCAAUAGCAUCCAGCUGCGUAUAUUCAAACGAUCGUAUGUGUUUGCAGAGCUGCACAGUGUUUUCUGUUCAUUUGAUAAUUUCAGUGAACUCGUGUAAUUUUCUGUAUAAAUAUGGCGUCAUAAACGUUCAAGGUCGUUCUGACACUAACCAUUCGAUUUUACAAAACGUGGUCGCUUUCGGCUUUUUUGAUCAGCCGUUUCACUUAUAGACCGUACCCUGUCACCUUCGUAUAUGGGGCUAACCUAUGGGACCGAUAAUCCCGUGCGUGCUGCCAUGCACGACAAGUUAUCCUAUUAGCAAGCAGUAGAAAGUCUCUCUCGCUAGAAAUUCUGUGUUUUCUCAUGAAAACAAAGGUGGAAUCAUAACAAGAUCAUAUGAACAAAACGGGGUGAACUGUUAACGGGAAAAGGCAGGAGAACUGGAAAGCUGUCGUGAGCAAGCAUGAGCUACUGACGGCAUUUUCCACGUACGCCGGCGUCGUCGAAAGCAAGCACCGGCCGGAAAAGUUCCCACAGACUAAGGUUCGUGAGUGCAGGCGAAUGCUUCACGCGAAAGACUUUGGUGAAAAAGCCAGGAAAAGUCAGCUAGACAUAUCUGCAAAGAAAACGAUGGCGGAUGCCUCCUAGGGGCCGCGCACUACUAGAGCAAAGGAAACUACUGCUAACUGGCAUGGAUUGACGUAAAGAAAGGACUAUUUAUAGAUCGGAGCUCAGGGCGACGUAAAACCGACGUGCACAUGGCAUGUGACAUCGUCAGAAAGUAAUAUAAUGCUUAUGCCAGCUAACUGACUCUACUGUUUCUAACACUACAGGUGCUGGCUUGCCUGUACGAUCACUUUUGGCCUUUUCCGUGUGUGUCAUCGCAAAUUGCCCCGGAGUAAACAUCCAAGCCGAGACUCCUUUCUACCUUAUCAACGUUUGCUAUGCAAAUGUGAAUUGAAAAUGUUUAGAAAACUUUUGCCCUCAACCUGGAAGCAAACAAAGAAAAAUACGCGGAAACGUGAAACAGCGGUCAGGAUACUGUCCUGCGUGGAAGACGUUGUGCGUUGUUCAUAAUGUUUCUGCGUGUCUGUUCGACAACACGAGGGAGAUAGCGGCGCCGGUUAGCUAUAGGAGACGAAAGAAAUGGAACGAAGGCGCCUUAUUCACUUCUAAGCGCGUUCCUUGGUGCGCUGUUAUCACGGCCGUCGAAGGCACAGCAACGGUGCUAAUCACACUCGCUGGAGUGGAACCACCAGAAGUGGUCCUUAUCCCGUGAAGGCGCGAAAAACUUCCUCUGACUCAGCGUUACUGGGCGCCUCUCAAGUGGAGUUCGUCUCCGCCGGUCUGUAGUCGAGGACAGCGACGGAGAGGAGGACGGACGACAGACCUUUUAUUACAGGAAGAGCAGGCCGGCAAGCAAGGAGGCCAAGUCCGAAAAAAAAAAGCUGUGUAAAAAGGGUUUUCAAGAAUGUGAGGUGCGAGCUGAAAGUCUUUUUAUAUAUACACGCACAGCAUGGCGGCAUUGCCGAGAAGACGUGGUGGACUAGAGAACUUAUCACAUGCUUGUUCGGUAAGGAAGCAGAACAAAUUGUCUGUACUGCUCUGCUACACUCGCUUCUUAUCCAUCUUCUGGUGAAUGAUAACAUUCAGCGGAAUGCUUGUAAGACAGAGAGGUAAGGAAUUUGUAUGUGCGUAAGGUGUAGCCGGUGAUUGUGCCGGUAUUACACAUUCGGAGAUACGAAUAGGGGUCGAGUUCCUCUUGUCGUUCGUCGAACGGAAUGGCAGCAGCUUGACUUCGUUAGAAUGACUGGGUAGCUGGAGUGACGGGAUAGGUAAACGUCACAAGUUGAAGCUGGACGGACCGAACCGGAAAUCGCCAUCCAUGCGGAGGCUUAGAUCUGGGUUUUUGCCACUUUACCGGUUGUUCGCUUCUAUCAGUAAUCUUGUACCUUCCGAUUUUCUUUCCUCUCGCCGAGCUUGCUGAGCCAAAGUUUUGACAAAAAGACUCACAAGACCAUGCAUAGCUUCGCGGGGCGACUUUGCCUCUACAAAGCCGGUGAAGAUGACGACGACGACGACGACGACGACGACGGCGGCUAGAUCUCCUUCUCGUUCGGUACUUAGCUAAGCGUUAGAAAGACCACGAACCAAAUGUUGCAUUACCCCAUUACAUAGGCACAAUAUAGAGCGUCAAUUCAAUCUGAAAUUAACGCAACGAAACAAAUGUCUGUAUUAUGUUAAUAUAAAUUUGGAUCCGUUCUUUUACGUGUCAAACAAACAUAACAGCACGAGUUUUUCGUAUCCGUAAUCCGCUAAUAGGCAACGGCCCGCUUUAAGAAUCGACCAAACGACGCGCGACCUGUUGUAAAGGGUUUAUCAAGAGAGCUGCACGAAGCUUCGAGCAGACGAGUGUACUGUGUUAGCUGCUGAGUACUAACUAUAAAAGGGUCGCUUUACGAAUCACGAUGCCGUUCGUCGUAUGCACCCGAUUAAGGGGCAUUUUAAGUUGA